UACGUAGGGGGCUAGCGUUGUCCGGAUUUAUUGGGCGUAAAGAGCGUGUAGGCGGCCAGGUAGGUCUGCUGUGAAAACUCGAGGCUCAACCUCGAGACGUCGGCGGAAACCAUCUGGCUAGAGUCCGGAAGAGGCGAGUGGAAUUCCUGGUGUAGCGGGUGAAAUGCGCAGAUAUCAGGAGGAACACCGAUUGCGAAGGCAGCUCGCUGGGACGUCACUGACGCUGAGACGCGAAAAGCGUGGGGGAGCAAAACAGG
rnacentral:rRNA from 1 species